rnacentral:rRNA from 1 species
UACGUAGGCAGCAAGCGUUGUUCGGAAUUACUGGGCGUAAAGAGUGUGUAGGCGGUGCUCUAAGUUCGGUGUGAAAUCUCCUGGCUCAACUGGGAGGGUGCGCCGGAAACUGGGGGUGCUGGAGCGCGGGAGAGGAAAGCGGAAUUCCUGGUGUAGCGGUGAAAUGCGUAGAUAUCAGGUGGAACACCAGUGGCGAAGGCGGCUUUCUGGACGGUAACUGACGCUGAGACGCGAAAGCGUGGGGAGCAAACAGG